rnacentral:rRNA from 1 species
GUUUUGGUCCUAACUUACUGCUACUUUUAUCAAAUUACACAUGCAAGUAUCCACAUACCGGUGAAAUAUGCCCAAACAUAGUAAAACGGAGCAGGUAUCAGGCACGAAAUUCAGCCCAAAACACCAAGCUAUGCCACACCCACACGGGCCUACAGCAGUGAUAAACAUUAAGCAAUGAGCGAACAAACACACCUUAAAGCUCGACUUAGUUAUGAUUAACAGGACCGGUCAACCUCGUGCCAGCCACCGCGGUUAUACGAGGGGUCCAAAGCAGCAGAUUUCGGCGUAAAUCGUGACUAGAAUUUAUCUUAAAAACUAAAGAAUAAACCAUAACCUAGCCGUAAAACACAGGUUAAAUGAAACCAGCGAUCUUUACAACCAAGAGAGUUUGACUCACGAAAACUAAGAAACAAACUAGGAUUAGAUACCCUACUAUGCUUA